GAGGAAUAAGCAUCGGCUAACUCCGUGCCAGCAGCCGCGGUAAUACGGGGGAUGCAAGCGUUAUCCGGAAUCAUUGGGCGUAAAGCGCCUGUAGGUGGUUUAGUAAGUCUGUUGUUAAAGCCUAGGGCUUAACCCUAGAAAAGCAAUGGAAACUACUAGGCUAGAGUAUGGUAGGGGUAGAGGGAAUUUCUAGUGUAGCGGUGAAAUGCGUAGAUAUUAGAAAGAACACCGGUGGCGAAAGCGCUCUACUGGACCAUUACUGACACUCAGAGGCGAAAGCUAGGGUAGCAAAAGGGAUUAGAUACCCCUGUAGUCCUAGCCGUAAACGAUGGAUACUAGAUGUUGUGUUUAUUUCACAGUGUCGUAGCUAACGCGUUAAGUAUCCCGCCUGGGGAGUACGCUCGCAAGGGUGAAACUCAAAGGAAUUGACGGGGGCCCGCACAAGCGGUGGAGCAUGUGGUUUAAUUCGAUGCAACGCGAAGAACCUUACCAGGGCUUGACAUACUACAGAUCUUUUUGAGAAAAAAGAGUGCCUUCGGGAAUGUAGAUACAGGUGGUGCAUGGCUGUCGUCAGCUCGUGUCGUGAGAUGUUGGGUUAAGUCCCGCAACGAGCGCAACCCUUAUUUUUAGUUACCAACUUGUUGGGUUAUCUAGAAAGACUGCCGGUGACAAACCGGAGGAAGGUGAGGAUGACGUCAAGUCAGCAUGCCCCUUAUGUCCUGGGCUACACACGUGCUACAAUGGUUAAGACAAAGAGUUGCGAGUUCGUGAGAACCAGCUAAUCUCGUAAACUUAGCCUAAGUUCAGAUUGUAGGCUGCAACUCGCCUACGUGAAG
rnacentral:rRNA from 1 species